AUACCUUUCUCGGCCUUUUGGCUAAGAUCAAGUGUAGUAUCUGUUCUUAUCAGUUUAAUAUCUGAUACGUGGGCCAUUGGUCCACAUGAUAUUAAAUUAAUUUUUUGAAGGGGAGGGCCCGCAACAGUAGCUGGCUACUGGGGUUCCUCGAGCGUCGCCCAUGCGUUGCACUACUGCACGGGCCUGGCGCACCCUAC
rnacentral:snRNA from 1 species